UUCUUAUCCAGAAAGACCGAGGGACUUGACCCGAUGACGUCUUGGCAACCUCCGCUUAGCGGGAAGGUGCCACCUUCAACCAUUCACCUGUGGCGAAUGGAAAGAUAAGUU
rnacentral:ncRNA from 2 species